rnacentral:rRNA from 1 species
AGGGUUUGAUUCUGGCUCAGGAUGAACGCUGGCGGCGUGCCUAACACAUGCAAGUCGAACGAUUAAACCGUCUUCGGACGGAUAUAGAGUGGCGAACGGGUGAGUAACACGUGACCAACCUGCCCCCUACUCCGGGACAACCUUGGGAAACCGAGGCUAAUACCGGAUGCUCCCUCCCCUCCGCAUGGCGGGGAGGGGAAAGCCCAGACGGUAGGGGAUGGGGUCGCGGCCCAUCAGGUAGACGGCGGGGUAGCGGCCCACCGUGCUUUCGACGGGUAGCCGGGUUGAGAGACCGACCGGCCACAUUGGGACUGAGAUACGGCCCAG